rnacentral:lncRNA from 1 species
GUGGCAGAGAGGUAGCAGGAAUCCUGAGAGACGGCUGUAACGAGGAGUCACUGUAAUGCCAUAAUGGGAUGGAAAGUACUGCAAUGAUAACAGGGUAGCAAAGUCUUCAGCUGCAACAAAUGAGAACAAGCCCAAGUGCAGGAGCUACAGAAAUAAAAGAAAAGAGCUGCUUACCUUUGGAAGGCCUCAGUGGGUAGUUUUUAGUCAGUGUCUGCAGGUUUAACACUUCACGUAGAAGACAUCAGCCAGUGCCUGGGGAACCUGAAGAGACAUUUGUGUAUAACCUGGAAUCUGCUGUGCUCAUCUCUGUAAGGACACAUUUAGGGUACCAGCUCCCAGCCUUUCCCCUCUGAUGGUUUAACUCUCUGGUGGAAGCGCUUUGCAGUCUGUAUUUGCAGGAGGUUUGCUGGACACCCAAGGUGGACCCUAUACUUGCAGCAGUUGUCCAGAAGCUAG